rnacentral:rRNA from 1 species
CCUACGGGAGGCAGCAGUGAGGAAUAUUUGUCAAUGGACGAGAGUCUGAACCAGCCAAGUAGCGUGAAGGAUGACUGCCCUAUGGGUUGUAAACUUCUGUUAUAAAGGAAUAAAACGAGGCACGUGUGCCUUUUUGCAUGUACUUUAUGAAUAAGGAUCGGCUAACUCCGUGCAAGCAGCCGCGGUAAUAGGGAGGAUCCGAGCGUUAUCCGGAUUUGUUGGGUUUAAAGGGAGCGUAGAUUGGUUGUUAAGUCAGUUGUGAAAGUUUGCGGCUCAACCGUAAAAUUGCAAUUGAUACUGGCAGUCUUGAGUACAGUUGAGGUAAGCGGAAUUCGUGGUGUAGCGGUGAAAUGCUUAGAUAUCACGAAGAACCCCGAUUGCGAAGGCAGCUUACUAAACUGUGACUGACAUUGAUGCUCGAAAGUGUGGGUAUCAAACAGGAUUAGAUACCCCAGUAGUC